rnacentral:rRNA from 1 species
CCCAGACUCCUACGGGAGGCAGCAGUGGGGAAUAUUGGGCAAUGGGCGCAAGCCUGACCCAGCAACGCCGCGUGAAGGAAGAAGGCUUUCGGGUUGUAAACUUCUUUUAAGAGGGAAGAGCAGAAGACGGUACCUCUUGAAUAAGCCACGGCUAACUACGUGCCAGCAGCCGCGGUAAUACGUAGGUGGCAAGCGUUGUCCGGAUUUACUGGGUGUAAAGGGCGUGCAGCCGGGAGUGCAAGUCAGAUGUGAAAUCCCGCGGCUCAACCGCGGAACUGCAUUUGAAACUGUGCUUCUUGAGUGCUGGAGAGGCAGACGGAAUUCCUAGUGUAGCGGUGAAAUGCGUAGAUAUUAGGAGGAACACCAGUGGCGAAGGCGGUCAACUGGACAGCAACUGACGCUGAGGCGCGAAAGCGUGGGGAGCAAACAGGAUUAGAUACCCGAGUAC